GACGUAGGGCGCGAGCGUUGUCCGGAUUUAUUGGGCGUAAAGAGCUCGUAGGCGGCUUGUCGCGUCGAAUGUGAAAUUUUAGGGCUCAACCCUGACAUUGCAUUCGAUACGGGCAGGCUUGAGUUCGGUAGGGGAGACUGGAAUUCCUGGUGUAGCGGUGAAAUGCGCGGAUAUCAGGAGGAACACCGGUGGCGAAGGCGAGUCCCUGGACAACUUCUGACGCUGAGGCACGAAAGCUAGGGGAGCAAACAGG
rnacentral:rRNA from 1 species